UGAUGUAGCUCAGCAGGUAGAGCACUGCCUUGGUAAGGCAGAGGUCACGGGUUCAAGUCCCGUCAUCA
rnacentral:tRNA from 2 species